GUGUUACCGUGAGAAAAUAUCUUGAACUUCUACUCUGUACUUCACCAUACAAGAAUUGAGCCUGGUGUUUUCUUUAAAUUAUUUUAUGAUUACUUAAAGCCAUUCUUUAUAAAUUUUGUGGAGACUUAUUAAAUGAAGAAACCACACAGCUUCCAACUCUGCAGUAGAUCUUGGGCUGUAACUGAUAUUCAACAUUACCAUCCUUGUUGUAAACUGAAUGUCAUAUCCCUCAAAAUUCAUAUGUUGAACCCCUAACUUCCCCUGUGAUGGCAUUUA
rnacentral:lncRNA from 10 species